rnacentral:tRNA from 1 species
AGCCCAUGGCUCAAUGGUUAAAGCGUUUGACUACUGAUCAACAGGUUUCGGGUUCGAGUCUCGGGUGGGCUG